rnacentral:sRNA from 1 species
CACCAUCUAGAAGGGAGUGGGGUCAGUUACAGAUUGAACUCCUUGUUCUACUACUUUCCCCCCUCCUCACUACUGCACUUGGCUAGUCUUAA